AGAUUAUCAUAUCCAACGAUCUUUCCUUUGAGGCAGACUUCAUGACGAGCUAUAAGGCUAUUAACCCUCAAGUAGAGACUGAUGAUGAAGACAUGGAUCCUACUGUUUUAUUUUUGUUCUUUUGAUUAUUGGUUUAGUUGAUGUUUUAGUUGAUGUUUUAGUAUACUUAGGUUUUUAUAUUCACAGCUAUAUUAUUUAAUUUCUGUCUUGGCUGUAAAAUUUCUUUUUGUAGCAUUUCCAUAAAGAUAGGCUCAAAUGAAUGAAAUACGUUCAAAUGUAUAACGAAACAGUUUAAAGCAUCGCCGGCUAGAAGAAAUACUCAUAAGGGAACAUAGUCCAAGCAGUUCUUUGGCGGUGUUUGCAGGGAAAAGGAUCUUUGCCGUCUCAUGGAGCUGAACAUUUCGAUAAUGACACCCCACAAGGAAGGAAAGAAAUUAUACAACAUGUGUAACCAUAAUCAAGGUCUUGGCUGUAGCAUCUUUCAAAAACAGUAGCAUUCCAAGAAAUGUGGUUGCAAGAAUUGCUGCUAGCCUAACAAUGCAACCAAAACAAGUAAACAGUAGAAGUGCAAACAUUAAAUGGCUCCACUAAUCGUCUAGUUUAAGUUUCUCAACAGAGCAGUAAAAAACAAACCUGCUGAUCCAAUACUAGAGUGAACCUUAGAAAAGAUAGAAGCGGUAAAAUUGGUUUCAGAGUCUGUUUAAGUUUCAAUCUUUGCUUGUACAGCCAUGUAAGUGUUCCAUUUGCCAGAAGGAAUAUCAUGUUGGUUGCUUGAGGGACCAUGGGUUGUAUCAUGCGUGAUUUGAAGGUAAGUCCUAUCUCAUUUUUUCUUCAAUUGUGAAACACUUUUAGUUCUGAUUGAGGUGUAUCUUAAAACUUACCGACAAAGUUGUAGUUACAGGAAAUCCUACACUACACCCCUCAUAUGA